rnacentral:lncRNA from 1 species
CGAACUGAAAUAAAAUUCAUUCAUCUCAAACAAAAUUACUGUAUUGUAGUCUCUAAUGACCAUUUUAAGUGUUGUCUCCUAAUGACAACUCUCUAAGUUUACAUUGGUUCUUCAUUUAAUACUCCAACAUUGACGGCAUGACUAGUAUGAAGAAAAUAGCGGUGGAGUAUGAGGAGAAAAGGAAACGUAGACUAUUAGAGAAUAAAACAUGAUUUGAUGCUUUGAAUUUGCCUACAAGCACCGUCCAAUUUAUGAGCAUUCUUUCAAAGCCUACGGAAAUAAACA